rnacentral:rRNA from 1 species
UACAGAGGUCUCAAGCGUUGUUCGGAUUCAUUGGGCGUAAAGGGUGUGUAGGUGGCGCGCUAAGUCGGGUGUGAAAUUUCGGAGCUUAACUCCGAAACUGCAUUCGAUACUGGCGUGCUUGAGGACUGGAGAGGAGACUGGAAUUUACGGUGUAGCAGUGAAAUGCGUAGAUAUCGUAAGGAAGACCAGUGGCGAAGGCGGGUUUCUGGACAGUUCCUGACACUGAGGCACGAAGGUCAGGGGAGCAAACGGGG